rnacentral:lncRNA from 1 species
GAAUGGUCCCAUUCGCCGGAGUGAAAUUCCAGGCAUAAGGUUCCGAAUAUAUUUAGAAACUUCAGCAUGCCUUAAAUGAGCAUGAGCAAUACUCGUAUGUGGCGUGGCAAUGGUUAAAGUCACGUGGGACAAGUCAUGUACAUGGUUGUAUGUAAGUUGAAUGUGGUUUGAAAUGUGUGUAAUUAUUGUAACUUUGGAAAGUUGUGAAUUAAAAUGGAUUUAAU